GCGUCGCUCACGCUGGGAGCUGUAGACCGAAGCUGUUCCUAUUCGGCCAUCUUGGCUCCUCCCUCCCGGUAGUUCUUAUAUGAUUGAAUGUUUGCAUUUAUUUCUGUAUUUCAUUAGAAUUUCACAGGCAAACUUGGGGGAUGGCAGUGUUAGUAUUCUCUCAGGAUAAUCUGGAAGAUAUUUUUAAAAACUUUUGGUUAGCCAGACAAUUCAAUUCACCAAAAGUUUACUACAUGUCUUAGGAUGUUUUCAGCUGGAAAAGCAAAAUGGAACAAAAUUUGAAAGUGGCUUAAACAAUAAAGGAUUUGUUACUUUACAUAAUAUCACAUCUGAAAGUGGACGUUUUCAUAGUGUGCUAAUCCAGUCCUCUUCUAAAUGAUCCAGGAGUCUCGAACCUUUCUACUCUGGAGGCAUUGCCUCUCCUCGUCUUUGCUGAAGCCAGAGGUCAUGUGCUCACACAAUCAUAUGGAGAAGCAUAAAUGAGCUAUUUCUCAUCACCUAGCUCUUUUUAUCAGGAUUAAAAAUCUUUCCUCAAAAAGUCCAGAAGCAUACUUCCCUCUAGCCUAGUUGGCCAGGAUUACAUAACAUGCCUCCGAUGGAACCAAUCACUGGUGAAGGGAGUGCAAUUAUUGUGAUUCUAGAUUAACUGUAAUAAUUGACAUUCACCCCCUGGAGCUGGGAUAGAAAGCCGAUUUACAGCAUCGCUGAGCAGGAAAAAAGAGAUGGCUGUUGAACAGGAGGCAACAUGCAAUGACAUAAUUAAUUGUUAAUGGAAUUCUAGCCAAAAGGAUGUGGGAGGAGAGGAAGGAGCCACAAAGGGAGAAUCAUGCCUAAGAGUUAACUAUGGUACUCUGAAGCAGAACAGAGACUGGAGGAGAAUAUACAGCCAUGAAAACUACGUACAAUAUGGCGUCUUGAAUUGGAUCCUGGAGCAGACAAUGGGAUUACUGGGAAAACUGGUGAAGACUGGAAAAUAGAAAAAAUAGAGUCUCCAGGGAACUAAAAAUAGAAUUAAUGUACAGUUCAGCAAUCUUGCUGGGUAUCUACUCAAAGGAGAAGAAAUCAUUAUAUUAAAAAAUAGCUGUACUUCUAUGUCUAUUGCAGCAUCAUUCACAAUAGCAAUGAUACGAAAUCAAUCUAAAAUGUCCAUCAGUGGAUGACUGGAUAAAGAAAAUGUGGUAUUUAUGCAUACAGACACAUACACACAUAUACACACACACAAUAGAAUACUGUUGAGCCAUAAAAAAGAAUGAAAUCAUGUUCUUUUGCAGCAACAUGGAUGGUACUUGAGGCCAUUAUUUUAAGUAUAACCGCUCAGAAACAGAAAGUCAAAUACUGCACAUUCUUACUUAUAAGCGGGAGCUAAAUAAUGUGUACACAUUGACAUAGAGUGUGGAAUAAUAGACAUUAGACAAUCAGAAGGGUGAAACGGUGGUAAGAGGGUAAGGGAUUAGAAAUUACUUAAUGGGUACAAUGUACGUUACUCAGGUGAUGCAUACACUAAAAGCCCAGACUUCGCCACUGCACAAUAUAUCAAUGUAACAAAACUGCACUUAUACGCCUUAAAUUUAUACAAAUAAAAAAAUUUAAAAAUAGAG
rnacentral:lncRNA from 1 species